rnacentral:rRNA from 1 species
AGUGAACGCUGGCGGUAGGCCUAACACAUGCAAGUCGAACGGCAGCACAGUAAGAGCUUGCUCUUACGGGUGGCGAGUGGCGGACGGGUGAGGAAUACAUCGGAAUCUACUUUUUCGUGGGGGAUAACGUAGGGAAACUUACGCUAAUACCGCAUACGACCUACGGGUGAAAGCAGGGGAUCUUCGGACCUUGCGCGAUUGAAUGAGCCGAUGUCGGAUUAGCUAGUUGGCGGGGUAAAGGCCCACCAAGGCGACGAUCCGUAGCUGGUCUGAGAGGAUGAUCAGCCACACUGGAACUGAGACACGGUCCAGACUCCUACGGGAGGCAGCAGUGGGGAAUAUUGGACAAUAGGCGCAAGCCUGAUCCAGCCAUACCGCGUGGGUGAAGGAGGCCUUCGGGUUGUAAAGCCCUUUUGUUGGGAAAGAAAAGCAGCAGGUUAAUACCCCGCUGUUCUGACGGUACCCAAAGAAUAAGCACCGGCUAACUUCGUG